UACGUAGGGGGCGAGCGUUGUCCGGAAUCAUUGGGCGUAAAGCGCGUGUAGGCGGUUCGGUAAGUCCGCUGUGAAAGUCGGGGGCUCAACCCUCGGAUGCCGGUGGAUACUGUCGGGCUCGAGUACGGAAGAGGCGAGUGGAAUUCCUGGUGUAGCGGUGAAAUGCGCAGAUAUCAGGAGGAACACCAAUUGCGAAGGCAGCUCGCUGGGACGUUACUGACGCUGAGACGCGAAAGCGUGGGGAGCAAACAGG
rnacentral:rRNA from 1 species